UACGUAGGGGGCAAGCGUUGUCCGGAUUUAUUGGGCGUAAAGAGCGUGUAGGCGGCCAGGUAGGUCUGCUGUGAAAACUCGAGGCUAACCUCGAGCUGUCGGCGGAAACCAUCUGGCUAGAGUCCGGAAGAGGAGAAUGGAAUUCCCGGUGUAGCGGUGAAAUGCGCAGAUAUCGGGAAGAACACCCGUGGCGAAGGCGGUUCUCUGGGACGGUACUGACGCUGAGACGCGAAGCGUGGGGAGCGAACAGG
rnacentral:rRNA from 1 species